GGUCACACAGCUGGGAAGUGUCAGAGUCCAAAUUAGAACCCAGGACCUCCUGUCUCUAGACCUGGCUCUCAAUCCACCGAACUACCCAGCUGCUCUCCACAGUACUGAUUCUAAGAGAGAAGGUAAGAGUUCUUUAAAAAUGUAAAAAGAAUUAGAAGAAGCUAAUAACCUUCCUUCCCCAUCUUCCCCAGCCUAGGUUCAACAGUUUGCAUUUCUAUGAGAUAAUCGAGGUAAAGUACUUGGCCACCUGAAACAAAUUCCAGAGAAGAAAAGUGAAGUGUUCGCCUGCCACAAAGAAAGCACUCUUGCCCAGGCUUUUGCAGCAAGCAGCCUUUUAUCUGGUCCCUCCUGCUCUCUCCACUCAGCAAAGCCUGACCACAUCACCUCUCAGCCAGCGGCCUCACCCCACCCCUGCUCAAACAACGGUGGCUCCCUACUAUCCCCAGCUACUUCUAAUAAGAAGAGACACCAGAGUCUAACACCUAACUAAAAGUCGCAGCAAGGUAUAAUAGAUGCCAACACUGGAAUUGGAGUCAGGAAGAUCCUUGUUCAAAUUCUGGCUCAGAUACCUACUAGCUGUGUGACUCAGGGAAGAUCCCUUAACCCCUCUGUGCCUAAGUUUCUUCAUCUGUAAAAUGAGGUGAGACUCAAUGGUCUUCUAAGGUUCCUUCCAUCUCUAAGUCUAAGACCCUCUAAGCAGGAUUCCUCUCUUCCCCCAUUUCUCCUUUCUCAACCCUGUAGGGGAAAUGCCUCUAAUCAAAUGCAUAAGGCCCCCACCACCAUCACUAUCAUCAUCAUCAUCACCUUUCAGCAGGGUCCCAUAUCCUAGAAAGAAAGUGCCAACUUUCUGGCCAAAAAGACCUGGGUUCCACUUCUACCUUUGAUACACACUAUGUAAGCACAGGCAAGUCCCUUAACCUCAAUGAGCCUCAGUUUCCUCAUCUGUAAAAGGAGGAUACCUGUAGCAUCUGCCUCUUCAGGUUGCUAUGACGCUCAAGUAAAAUAGCAUACAUAAAACGUUUCAUGAACUUUAACGUCCAUUAUAAAUUUCUCUUAUCACUAUUCUGCCUCCGUGCAUAUUCAGGCAGGAAGUUGCCAACAAUAACUAGAAGCUUUACCCUGGCAGUGCCUUAGACAAGUUUUAUUCAGUUAGCGGAGAUCACAAGAAUUUGCCAAGCCCCAAGGGCAGAACUGCUCCUGCCCUCCAUCCUAUCAGACAGCCUCAGGGCUGCCUUCUAGUUCCUUCUCAGUCAACCAUAUUUUAAUAGUAGAUAAUAGGAAGCUAAUAUAAUUCAGAUUCAAUUACUUGAUAUUCUCAUUUUGCUGUUUUAAUCAUAAUUCACAUGUGCCUGAUGCUUUAAGGCUGUUAAAGGGCUGGCUCAGUGAGUAGCCUUCUGGGAAAGCCUUGCCCAGCCAUUGUUUGGAGAGUAGCCAAAUGAUCUAUCUUACAUGAGGAUAAUAGAAUUGUUAUAGCACAGUAAGAAAUGAUGAAGCUGGGAAAUGCAGAAAGACACAGGGAGAUUUAUAUGAACUGAUACAGAAUGAAAUAAAACAAUAUGUGUAGUGACUACAAUGGCAAUGAAGACAUCGAAAGGGGAUCAAGCUGUGUAAUUGACCAGUUGAUAAUGGAACCGGGGAGCAUAAUGAAACAAGCCUCCCUCCAUUAAGCAGAGAAGAGGCUAUGAGGGCAGAAUGCUGGGUCCACUGUCAGACAAGUAAUGGUAGCAGGUGUUUUGUUUAAUUGUUUUUCUUUGGUAUACAAAAAGGUUCCAUUUGGAGGAAAUGGAAGAGGGGAAGAAGACAAGGGCAAGUACUUUCAGAAAUGGCUCUGAUGUAGAAACAAAAGGCAUCCAGAAAACUUUUUUUAAAAGCAGUAUCCCAAGAUCAGCUGUAUACUGCUCAAGCAUGCCCCUCCUUUGUACCAUCAGGUACACUUUGGGUACCUACAGAAGCCUCUCCAGUUCUCUCCUCAGCGGCUGCCAUCCUGGCCACCUUGGCAAUGAUGGGUGCCACAUUGGUAGGGCCAUAGAGUUGGAUCUUGGGUAGGCAAUUCUGAUACGAUUCCACCACUCCCUGGAUCCCUGUUGAGGUGUAGUAGAGAGGAAAAGCCUCUUAUGCCUGCAUGGCACUGACCAUCCGCUUCCUCUCCUCCCACAACCCAUACCAGCAUAAUUGGCUAAUGCUAUCUCCCCAGGAUGUAUUUCUUCCUAAUCUAUACCCAGAGACCCAAAGCACUGACAGAUGCAACAAAAGGCAUGUCAUUGUCAUCAUCAGAGCCCAGACCACUACCAUUGUAUAGUUCUGUUGAUACCCUAGAGACUAAGAAGGGGAGCUUCUCCUAGAUCCUUGGAGGCAACCUAGCACAAUGAGGAAAGAUCUAAAUUUGGAAUCUGAGUUCAAGACUCACAGUCAGGGUGGCCUAGGACAAAUCUAUUAACUGCUCUUGGCCUCAGUUUCCUCACCUGUAAAAUGGAAGGAUUGAACUAAAUGGCCUCUAAGUUCCCUUCCAGUUCUAAGUUGAUGAGCAAUCGGGGCAUUGGGAAUAGACAAUCUCCACUAAACGUGGCCCUCCUGAGGUGAGAGAAGCUCAAAGCAGCCCAAGGCAGUAUCCUUGUAAAAGCAGUAAGUCUAGUCCUCUGUACCCCAAGGGCCCUUCCUCUUACCUUCACACUCAUCAUCAUCUGGGUUGAAAUUAAUGGCAAAGUCAUGGGAAACCUGAAAUGGAAAGCAAGGAUGGGAGUAGCUUGCCAAUGAAAUCUAAUUUUCCAAGUGGAAUUAUAGUUCGUGCUACUUCCUUCCCUCACAUCCCAGCUGAGCCUACCCAGCCAUCCCACUCCCCAGAACCUUGCUCAAGAAGUUGCAAGAUUCUAGAAGACAUCCAGGGAAACCCUCUUAGAAUUAUGGGUAUUUAUGGAUUUGCCAGAUGGUUGCCCACCUCACUUUGGAAUGGUAUUGAACCCACAUCUUUAGUCUCAAUAACAUGCACAACGCUUAGCACAUAGUAGAUCUUUAAUAAAUGCUGAUUGAAUGAAUGAAUGAAUGAAUGAAUGAAUGAAUGAAUGCAUACAGAAUGGAUGAUGAAUGAAUACUAUUCUACCCUUAGAUCAAGGUUUCUUAGCCUAGAGUCUGUGAACUUGCUUUUUGAUUCCGUGGGGGUUUUGAUUUUGAUUACUGAAUUCCAAUACAACAGGUUUCUAUCCUAUAUAUUUCAUUGUGUGGCUUUAAAAAUGUUAUUCUGAGAAGGGGGCCAUAGACUCCAUAGCCAAAGGACAGUCACAGUCACAGGAUCCAAGAGGCUAAGAACCCUUGUAUUGGAUAAAGAAACCCCAGCCGAGUGCUAUAAAACCAAGCUUGGGGAUCACAGCUUUAUAGAGAUGUGCUCAGAAGCUCUGACCUCAUACUUGGGAGGAAUCCGGGCACCAAAUCCCAGAGCAGAAAAUUUCUUGUCACUGGAAGAGAGUAAAUGUCAGAUCCAGCACUCCCAUCCUGCUUUGCUGACUCCCAUGCUCCCACCUUGCCUUUCUGACUCCCAUUUGUCUUCUUAAUCCCACUCCCACAGAGAGUCCCCAGGAGACAGGGACAAACAGUGGAGAGCCAGGGGGCAGAGAGGGAAGGGAGGUGUGUUUGUUUAUUUGUUUAUUUGUGGGGGGGGCUGAUACAAAGAGUAAUGAAAGUGAACAUCUCACCUGUCAUAGUCCUGGCAAAUUUCUCCCACAGCAAUGAGUGCCUUCAGGUACUCAUUGGGUUGGUAAGGGUUGAUAUAAUGGAGAGAGCAACUAUUGCGGGGAUCUCCAUUGGAAGCUGUAAAGUCAAUGGCCACCUAGGGAGCAGGAAAGGAACACUGAGUCAGGAUAUCCCUGAAUAAGAAUGAAAACCACAGAUAAGUCUACAUUGAAGAGGUUGGUAUACUUUUUUUUAAAGCCUUACCUCCUGUCUUAGUGCAAAUUUUAAGACAGAGCAGUAAAGGCUAGGCCAGUGAAGGCAAACCUAUGGCAUGAGUGCCAAAGAUGACACAGAGCACUCUCCGUGGGCAUGCAUGUUGCCCUCCCCUCACCCCACCCCAGAAUUCAUUACUAGAAAAGCAGAGGGAUUCAGGAGAAUCAACUUCCUUCCCCCUCUCCACUGUGCUUGACAACAUUUUUUCAUAUCACCUGCCCCUCUGUUCAGCAGCCCAAUGGGAAUGCACAGGGUUGCUAAGGUAAGGUGGGCAGCUCAUAGGCAGCAGAGCUGGAGGGGUGCAGAGCACUUGGGUCACUCAUCUCCCCCUCUCUAUACUCACUGAGGACAUUCCUUACCUCACCUGCCCCUCUGCCCAGCAACCCAAUAGGAGCACUUUCUCCCUCCCUUGUGUGGGGUAAGAGAGGGGAUGCAUCUGGCACUCAUGGGGAGUGUGGCAUGGCAUGGCAUAUGGUCUCUGGGGGGUAGGGUAUAGCAUAUGGCCUCUAGAGGCAGGGCACAGCACAUGGUCUCUAAAAGGUUCAUUAUCACUGGACUAUGCAAUGAGAGUUAAGUGACUUGCCCAGGGUCACACAACUAAGUGUCUGAGGCCAAAUUUGAACCCAGAACCUCCCAACUUUAGACUUGGCUCUCAAUAUACUGAACCACCUAGCUGCCCUGCCCCUAUUCAUACCUCCUCUUAUCCUUCCAAUAAUCUUGAGGGGUAGAUAUUAUACUAUUAUUAACAUCUGACUGAAAAGUAAACUGAAAUCAGAGAUGUGAAAUAAAUUGUCUGAGGUCACACAACAAACUAAUGACACAACCAGGACUAGAAGCUAGGGUCAAAGUACACAGCAGGCAAGAAAUUGCACCAUAGAGCUCACAGCAGAUAAUGUUAGCACUAUGGCUCAAUGGGCAGAAUGGGGAUGUUUACUUGGUCUCUCACAAUUCAGAGAAGAACAUACCAGAGUAAGGACCAGGCAGUUGGAGCUGGACAAUGACUGAAAGAAAGUGAUGGAUUGAAGAAGGGAAGGUGGAAACACCAGUCUUUGACAAGCUCAAAAUCACAUAAGGACAGAUAGAAGGAAUUGGGGAUGUUUAACUUAGAGAAGACUCAGAGGGAAGAUGAAAGUUGCUUUCAAAUAACUAGAGGGUGCUAACUAGGUGGUGCAGUGGAUAGAAUAUUCCAGGCUCUUUACAAAUAUUAUCUCAUGUGGACCUCAUGACAAUCCUAUGAGGUAGAAGGGCAUCUAGGUGGCUUAGUGGAUGGACAACUAGGUGGGAGAUCCUGGGUUCCAAUCCAACCUCAGACACUUCCAAGCUGAGUGACCCUGGGCAAGUCAUUUAACCUCAGUUUGUCUCAGUUUCCUUUGCUGUAAAAUGGGGAUUGUUAUAAGAUCAAAAUGAGAUAAUAUUUGUAUAGCACUUGGCAUAAUGCCUAGCACACAGUAGGUAAUUAAUGUUUCCUUCCUUUGUGUGAAAAAGGAAUAGGAUAUGCUUUGUCCUUAGAAGAAAGAACUAGAAGUAACUAGGGGAAGUUAUAGAGAAGCAGAUUUGACUUGAGGUAAUUCCAGAUUUCCUAAGAAUUAAAACUGAUGAAAAUGGAACAGGUUCUUUAAGGGGACAGUGGAUUCCCCUUCCUGGUCUUUAAGCAGAGACCAGAUGAUUCCCUUUGGGGAGAUGUCAUAGAAGGGACUCCUAUUCACAUCCACAUUGCUCUGUGACUUCAGAGGUCUUUUCCAACUGCAUGAAUUGACUUAGAUAUUGCACAGCAAUUUUACUCUUCCCUCACCUUCCACCACCAUCAAAGCAAAGGAGGUAGAAAGCAGGUAGGCUGACAGUCAACAAUACUGCCUUAAGAAUACCCAUUACCCAUUAAGGAGUGUUUUUCCCUUUCUAGGCUAUCCUUAGUUCAGCUAGGUAGCAUAUAGAGCACUGGACUUAGAAAGAAAGAGGGGAGAGGACUGAGUUCAAAUCUUGCCUUACUUAUUAGCUAUAUGAACAGAACAAGUGAAUUCAUUUCUAUCAACCUCAGUUUCCUCAUAUGUAAAAUGGGAACAAUAAUAGCAUCAACCUCAUAAGAUUAUUGUUAUAAAAGCCCUUACCUUCUACACAAUAAUGUAUAUUGAGUCUAAGGCAGAAGAGUGGCAAGGGCUAGGCAAUGGGGGUUAAGUGACUUGCUCAGGAUCACACAGCAAGGAAGUGUCUGAGGCCAGAUUUGAACCCAAGAUCUCCCACCUCUAGACCUAGCUGUAUAUCCACUAAGCCACCUAGAUGCCCCCUACCUCAUAGGGUUGUCAUGAGGACCAAAUGAAAUAAUAUUUGUAAAGAGCCUAGAAUAGUGCCUGGCACAUAAUAAGGAGCCAUUGUCAGAGUCAAGAUUUGAAUUGUGCUCUCCCAGACUUAGAGCCCAGCACUCUGUCCGUGGUACCAUGCUGCCUCUUGAGGGGGCUGUGCCCUCAAUUAACCAAUACGAAUAGUUGCCUGUGUUAUUCUGGGUAAUGAUGUGAAACUAGCUGUUGAUAAUCCCAAAGUAUUUCAUUUUUGAAACACCCCCGAGCUCAGUAUAUGACUUCCCUUUCACAGCACACUGAUCCCCACAUUAUGUUAUGCUUAUGUUAAAAUUAGUUUACAUCCCCGAGUACCCACCCUCUGGGCAGAGGAGGGAGGAGGCCCAGAAAUCUGCUGGAUGAUGGCAGGAAAUUAUCCAGACCAGGAUAUUAACCAAGGAGAUGACUCCCCAAAAGGGGAACCAGGCAAUAGUUAACUUAGCCCAGCUCAGAGGUUCUCACCACCCCUGCUGACCACCAAGGUCUUGCCCAGGAAGUGCCCACCUCCCCCAGCCCAACCCCGAGAUUCCCUUUCAAGCUGUUUCCAGCACAGUACAGUGGGCGGCUCUGCUCCUGGCAGCGUUCCCAGCAUCACCGAGGAGGUGACAGAGAAAGUGUUACUUACAGUGAAAUGAAUCUGGCAUCCACCCAUAAUGUAAUCCAGGAAGGAGUAGACCCUGUGGAUCUUCCAAACAAAUAGCAUUAAUGGGGCUCAUUGACGACUCCACUGAGCACUUUCCCCUUGCCCUCACUGCCCUCUGCCAACUGCCAGACCUGGGACUCCAGAGAUCAGUGAAGAAGCCUCCCAAGACAUCAGAGGGAGGGAAAUUAGCAAAGAGGGUAGGGAAUGGGGCAUGGGUCAGAAAUAAAAAGCCAAAUGUUUUAGGCUGGGAAGGAGGGAGCGGUGCAGAAGGUCUCCUCUUCCAUUUACCCACACCUACUCAUCCAUCAGUCUAAACAUUGUCCAUCUGCACCCCUUACUUCCAAUUUCAUUACAAGCCCAUACUCGAUUCUCCCUCAUCUCUCCCCCAGGGGCUUCAUCAUCACCACUAAAUGAUCCACAAAUAAGCCCCACAACAGAGCCCAGAGGAUCAAUUAAUUUAAGACUGGGAAGACUUUCUGUCAUUCCAACUACCCUGGCCCAUCUCAGCAAAACUCGGAGGAGCCUGAGAUCUGAGGAUGGAGUAGGAAAUGCCCCCUUCUUCUUCUUUCUCAAGCCCACCGAGACUCAAGAAUAAGGAAGAAGGGAACCUGAGGGAUUCAGGUUAUUCUUCACGACCUGUGGAAGUCAGAGAGAACCUGUAGUCGGGGCUUAGAGGGCCUCGUCAGGGCUGCCGACAUUCACCUUCAGUCUCUCAGCAGAAGCAAGAUGGCCACUUCUGGGGGACAUUUGGUUCUGAAGAAAUUCUUGGUUGGUUUCGAUCGUUAGACUGGAUGACCACUAGUGAACUCUACGAUUCCAGACAAUGACCUCCCACAGCUCACCUCUGUCCGGUAUACCAGUUGCUCACUCUGAUCAUCGUUGAUUCGGUAGAUCUCCAGGAAAGGAUCUGAUUUGCUAAAGAGAUCCUGGGAGUAGCAGAAGAGAAACACAGUUAAUUCCCCAGGUGUGGAGGAAAGUGGAUGAAGGGGAACAUAGUGACAAGAACUCAAGACUCUUUGAUCUACCAAUCAGGAUGCAGAAGGCAAGUCAGUUCAUCGUUAUGGGUCUCAAAUUGUCCUAUCUGAAAAGUGGAAAGAAUGACACUAAGAUUUUCUUGAAAGCUACUGCUUUUUAAAGUAAUAGCUUAAAAGAAAAUUAAAUUAAAAGGCAGUUGGGGGGAGAAUAAGAUAAAGUUAAAGCAAUCACGUUCACCAGGUACCCAUCGCUGGACUCCUAGUCCUUCCGGAGUCCUGUUCCUUUCCACCUACCUUGUCAUCGAGCUUCUUGGCCCGAAAGGAGAGUUCCACAUAUCCAUUGUUCCCAGAGAUCUCCUCUGCUAUCACCUAUGGAGGGUGAGAAUAUCCUAAGAUCAUAAGACUCCAAGGUAGAAGGAAGCUUCCAGAGUUUUUCAUUAACUUCCUUUAUUUUACAGAUGUGCUCCCAAAGCACUGCCAAACCAAAUCACAAUCAUAA